UAAACGCUGGCGGCGUGCUUAACACAUGCAAGUCGAACGGAGUAUUCCUCCCGAAGAUUGAAGAAGCUUGCUUCUGAUUGAUUCAUUUGGAAUACUUAGUGGCGGACGGGUGAGUAACGCGUGGGUAACCUGCCUCACACUGGGGGAUAGCAGUUGGAAACGACUGAUAAUACCGCAUAAGCACACGGUACCGCAUGGUACAGCGUGAAAAACUCCGGUGGUGUGAGAUGGACCCGCGUCUGAUUAGCUAGUUGGUGAGGUAACGGCCCACCAAGGCGACGAUCAGUAGCCGGCCUGAGAGGGUGUACGGCCACAUUGGGACUGAGACACGGCCCAAACUCCUACGGGAGGCAGCAGUGGGGAAUAUUGCACAAUGGGGGAAACCCUGAUGCAGCGACGCCGCGUGAGUGAUGAAGUAUCUCGGUAUGUAAAGCUCUAUCAGCAGGGAAGAAAGGCCCGAAAGGGAGAUGACGGUACCUGACUAAGAAGCCCCGGCUAACUACGUGCCAGCAGCAGC
rnacentral:rRNA from 1 species